rnacentral:rRNA from 1 species
GACGAACGCUGGCGGCGUGCCUAAUACAUGCAAGUCGAGCGGAUCUUCAUUAGCUUGCUUUUGAAGAUCAGCGGCGGACGGGUGAGUAACACGUGGGCAACCUGCCUGUAAGACUGGGAUAACUUCGGGAAACCGGAGCUAAUACCGGAUAAUCCUUUUCCUCUCAUGAGGAAAAGUUGAAAGACGGUUUCGGCUGUCACUUACAGAUGGGCCCGCGGCGCAUUAGCUAGUUGGUGAGGUAACGGCUCACCAAGGCGACGAUGCGUAGCCGACCUGAGAGGGUGAUCGGCCACACUGGCACUGAGACACGGCCCAGACUCCUACGGGAGGCAGCAGUAGGGAAUCUUCCGCAAUGGACGAAAGUCUGACGGAGCAACGCCGCGUGAGCGAUGAAGGCCUUCGGGUCGUAAAGCUCUGUUGUCAGGGAAGAACAAGUACCGGAGUAACUGCCGGUACCUUGACGGUACCUGACCAGAAAGCCACGGCUAACUACGUGCCAGCAGCCGCAGUAA